rnacentral:lncRNA from 1 species
UUGAUUUAGGAUUUAGGAUUUGAUUAGGGUUUUAUUUAGGAUUAGAAUUUGAUUAGGAUUUGGUUUAGGAUUUAGGAUUAGGAUUAGGAUUAGGAUUUGGUUAGGAUUUGGUUUAGGGUUAGGAUUUAGGAUUUGAUUAAGAUUUGAUUAGAAUUUGAUUUAAGAUUAAUAUUUAGUUAGGAUUUGAUUUAGGAUUUAGGAUUUGAUUUAGGAUUUAGGGUUUAAGGUUUGGUUAGGGUUUGAUCAGGAUUUGAUUUAUGGUUUAGGAAUUUAUUUCAGUUUAUUCAAGAUUUAAGAUUUAGUUAGUUUUUGGCCUAAAGUUUGAAUAAAGUCCAAUAAGAUUUCAACUAGGAUUAAAUUAAGAUUGAAUUGAGAUGUAUUUGAAAUAUGUUUGUAAUCAUUCUAAUAUUUUUUUAAGAUUUUUUAUUGUUUCUUUGAAUUCUUUUGAGGUUUCUCUGAAUUUGAUUAAAGCUUUUCUAGUAUUGUUAGUGUUCUAUUAGAAUUAGAAUUUUGUUGUUUCAAUUUCCAUUCUACCUUCCAGAGCCAGGUACUUGGAGCAUUCUCAAGCAUGACUUCAUGUAUUACAACAUAUUUGGUGAACCCAACGUGAAACGCUUGAGGUGGAAGGAAUUUGGUUUACUUAGAUUAUUUGAAUUUUAAAGAAGAAAGAUAAGACGAUGGAAGGAAGAAUUUUUGAUGGUACUUCAAGUGGAGUUAGAAGUGGUGGUU